rnacentral:rRNA from 1 species
UGCGUAGGCGGAAUAUUAAGUCAGUGGUGAAAUCCUGCGGCUCAACCGUAGAACUGCCAUUGAUACUGAUAUUCUUGAAUGUAGUUGAGGUAGGCGGAAUGUGUAAUGUAGCGGUGAAAUGCUUAGAUAUUACACAGAACACCGAUUGCGAAGGCAGCUUACUAAACUAUGAUUGACGCUGAGGCACGAAAGCGUGGGGAGCGAACAGGAUUAGAUACCCUGGUAGGUCC